GAAGAAAUUGUCAUAGUUUAUCUCUGAUUUGUGUUCUUAUGAAAAUAAUGGUUUGAAAGAUAAAACUACAUUUCUCUGUCUUGAUCUCUUUUUUUAACCAGAUCUUUAUGAGUAACACUAGGACUGAUUUUUUUUUUCCCCUAACAAAAGUUGAAUAACACUCAAAGGCUUUAAGUAGCCAAAGUCCAUCUUUAGAAAUAGCUUUUCUCUAUAAUGUACUGCCAAUUUCUUAUGUGUGUGUAUUUUGACCUUCCUGAUACCUCUGCUAUGGGCUGCCUAUUGAUUGGUACAUGUUAGUGCUUUGCUUAUAAGAGUUGGGCAAUAGUUCAGCGAUCCAACCCAAAUCUGGGCCAUAGAUAGAAAGGGCUCAUCUUCUAUUUAAGAAAUGUGGCAAACUACAUGAAAUGGAUUUGGUUCAGACAAGGUCUUUGGAACUGCUCAUCUAAUCUUGUGUGCUUGUAUGGAAUGGACACUUCUGCUGAGCUCCAAAGCUGAAAGUUCCUUGACCAUCAGCCUGUGGCCUGCCCCUUCUCUUUGGGUUCCCCACAGACCCCCCAACCGUGCAGGACUGCUCUUUGAAGCAUCUCCAGAAGUGUCAGCUUAUAGUUCUGGUUCAUGUGAUUAAUGAGCUGGUUAUACCUCUGUCUGCAGCCUGAACUAGAAACUUUCACUUUGGAGAGCAGGUCAAGAUAUCGAAUUUAAUUUUAGUUGCAUCUGUUAUAAGCCAAUUGUGUAUUCAUUACAUUUAUAGAUUCCCUCUCCAGCCAUAUAUUUUCAUGGCUGUUGAGAGCACCUGAAUCUGUGUUGAAUGUCUUUAGAUUUUACUUUGGGGACCAGAAAAUGAUACAGUGAGACAUUUUUGAUAGCUAGCUGUCAUCUUUGGCAUUUUUCUCUUUUAGUGUCUAAUUUGGUAUGUUUGAAGAAGGGGGCAAGUAUAGAAUUUUUUGUCUUAAGUUGAAUAUGGUCUGAUAAUUCUGUGUCAAUGAAAUCUAGGGUCAAUGCGGUUCAUCUUCACAUUUCUGUUUUCUGGGCGUACAACUCCAUUCUGUGGAAAUGAGAGACUUCUAAAAAUGGGAAAUGAAAAAUAACUUGGGGCAUGUCGGGACAGAGAUAUAGCAUUAAAUGUAUAGUCAACUGUAAGCAGGAUGGCCUACAAGGUGGACUUGGAAUGUGUAUGGACCUGCCUGGUUCUUUGGGGUUACAGUGAAUAGUGAGAAAAUUUAAAGGGGCAGGUCACAUGACCAUAGUCAAGGAGAUCCUGACGGCAGGGUGUGUUCAAAUCAGGAAGAAUGCUGCAUCUUUAUCAGCCAGAAGUUCCAUUUAUUUGAGAGCGAGUUGGUAUUUGUGAGGGGAACAAGGUCACAUUUAGUAGAACUGGUAAUUCAGUAAAGGGUUCUGACUUUCCCAGAGUAACAGUGUUGGCAUCAAGAGAAGAAAGUUUUGCAGAUUUCUCUGUGUGCACUUGCUGUUACUGGUGUUCCUGGUGGGUGGCUGAAUCAUCCUGAUGGCAUUCAACAGGAACCAGCUGCUGAGAAUAUUAAAAUGCAAGCAUUUAUUCCUCUAGAGAGACAGUAGCAUCUGCAAAGUUUUCCUAUCUUGAUAGUACAGAUAAUCCCAGGGAGCAUUCUCUAGUAGUUUUAACUCUCUAUUCAUUUAUACAUUUUCAUUUUAUCAUUAUUGUCAGUAUCUCAAAUUCCAACAGGAGAGAAGAAUGCCUGAAUCCACACCAGGUUGUAGAGACAGAUAGAAAGCACUUGGCCAAGGACGUGGGAUUGCCUCUUGGGCUUUACCUUGAAUUGUGAUUCUCAAGAGAAGAAAUUAGCAUUUUUCUCCCUUGACUUAUCUUCACAGCAAAGGGCUACCAUACUCUUAGUCUUCAGAGCUCCACCAGCAGGAAGGGACAGUCUUGGACUUCCCCACCCUCAAUACAGACUUCAUUGGAGCUUUCCUUUUUACUCGUUAAACUUGUGAAUUUGUUCCUCUCCUCAUGUGAUAUUGUUGUCUUGUUUUGUUGAGCUAGCAACAACAGUUGGGGGGAAAGGGCAGUGCAGAAAGAAAGUUUGGACUCGGUAAUCAACAAGGUCUUUUCCAUCUCUAAUAUUUAUGAAUAAUGUAUUGAACUGAUGGAAAAAAAUGUUGAAUAUGUUCAUUAUGACUUAUAUUCACCAGUGUGUUGCCUGGAAUAUAAAAGAGCAAAGCAGUUGCAGCAUAACUAGUUCCUUACAAUAAACGUGCUGGUACGACAGAGCUCUGUAGCCUUUCCUAUUCCACUGUGUGUCGUCCCCAGACGCAUGCUCUACAUGACUGAGUGCCAACUGCAGACUGGAUACAGGAUGGGAUGACAGCCAGCCCAGGUUCUGUAGGGAACCGGGACGGUCCUUGUGGAGCCUGGGUCCUAAACAGCAGCAGCUUGCUGGAAGGUCUUGACUGAGCAGUCUCCAUUAAGAGAAAUCACUGAAGCCAGUUUCACAUCUCAGACGCCACUCGGGUGCUGUUACACUGCUGGGCUUGCAGUGCUUAUCAUCAGAAAAGAAACAUCAUUUUGUCCCUUCGUUAAAAAAACAGUUGGCAUGGGUAACAAGUUUCUUGGCAAUAUUGCAUUCUAUUAUAAAGGAC
ensembl:lincRNA